GGAUCUAAAUAGGUGCCAUCCCAUGAUCUGGCGAAGGAGGGGAGAGAGAUCUGAUCGAUUUUAUCCUCCUUUCCCUGCCUCUGCCAGGCUGCCAACCAGCACCAGGGUUUUCAAAAGAGCUGCCUUCAUCACUAUUCCAAACAUGAACCAGGCAAGAGGAGCACAAAGCCAGCAAUUGAGAAUCCAAGCGUGGGAACAUGGCCCUCCCCAUUUCUGCUGAGGUGGUCAUUCUCCAGUCGGACUUGGGAAGAUUCCUCCCCCCUCUUUCCUUUCUAUCUUGUUUGUAAUCUCCCCAGGGUUGAACUUCAGCCCCUGUUGAAUCACUCCAGGCAAGAGUGGAAAGGAGAAGGAUCAAACAGCCAGAAGGAAUGCAACAUGGCCUGCAGCUUUUGCCCAUUUCAGCCGAGAAAUUGUGGGUCUUGCUGGUGAAGAAAAGGGGAGAUUUCAAAAGAAGCCCAGCCAAAAUUAAGGAAAUCGUAGUGGUUGUUCUGGUUUGACUCACCCGAGGCAACCCGUUAAAGGGUCACAAGGAGCUAAAACAGAUGUGGGCAGAACAAUGGAACAGCGUAAUCUCCUUUGGAUUUUUUUCAUUAUGAGAAAGUCCUUCCUCAAUCAGAAUCAAGCAAACAUGGACAAAGUGGUAGUUUAAAUAGAAGAAGCCAAUUCUCUGCAGCCAAAUAUUUGGAAGACCACCAUGUACAAGUUAUGAAAUAUUACCAAUCAAAGAUUCUAACAGCCUCCUCAUCCCUUUUAGGAGAGAAGAAACAAAGGGGAAACACCUGUGAUCCUUCUUCAAAGCUUGAAAAGAAACCCAGUCUGGGCCUCUAGACACAAUGUGCCACGUUUAUCAGGAAGUUUCGGCUCUCCACAAGAUGCAUGUCAAAAAGGGGAGGGAGGAAAAACACAAAGCGGAAGAGAGGACACCAUGUUCAAGGUUGGCAUGGAUGUUAUUCUAGGACUGUAACGGGCCAAAAAGGAAAAGCCAGGCUUGCUUGCAGGACCAGGAAAAGAGGGGAAUGCAUGCACAGCUAGCAGCAGCAGAGGCACAUGACAAAUAAUAAAGAAGGAGAACAAGAACAUGUGCAAACUCGCAACGUCAUUUGGGGUGUGUAUUGUUUGUUCAAACCAAUAACCUUCCCAAAAAGCUUAGGACUUGAAAUGGUAAAGAAGGGGAAACUUACAGGUCCAGUGUUGAUUUUUUUAAUGCAUUGGUUUAGACACAAAGGAAGCAUCAAGGGGAAAACAAAGUUUCUUGGAUUAAAUACAGCCAUGAGAAAGCAUAUCAGAUAUAAAGGAUUUAGUGUUUACAAAAAAAUGAUAGCUAGGGAUGCAUCUAUACCAGAUAUGGGCAAACUCCGCCCCUCUGGGUGUUUUGGACUUCAACUCCCACAAUUCCUAACAGCCGGUAGGCUUUUAGGAAUUAUGGGAGUUGAAGUCCAAAACACCUGGAGGGCCAAUGUGUGCCCAUACCUGAUCUAUACUGUAGAAUUAGUGCAGUUUGAUACCAUUUUAGCACCAAUGUCUCAAUGCUAUGGAAUCAUGGGAGUUGUAGUCUGGUGAAGCACAAGCUCUCUUUGGCAGUGAAGUUCCAAGACUACAACUCACAGGACUCUUUAGCAUUGCGCAAUGGCAGCUAAAGUGGUUCCAAACUGUUUAUUCUACAGUACAUAUGUACCCAAGGAGAAACUUCUGAAUUAUAUUCCCAUUGAAUCAAUAGACAAAUCGGAUUUUCACAUCUCAAAGCAGGUUCUGGUCCAGUGCUGGUGUGUGACAAUCGUGAGUUGAAAAUUUGCAGUCUUCCAAACAUAAAUGCAAACAUGUUUGCUCAUCCAUGACAAGGCAGUGCACUAUUUGAUUUGUUUCUUCCCUGUUUUUGAAAAAAGAAACAGGUUUGUACGUAAUCAUAAAUCUUCUGUAUCUUAAUGGAAGGCUGCCCUUAUUUGUACACACAUUAUUAAUGACUGUUCCUGCUGUUUUUCCAGAGCAAAGUAUAGCCCAAUACAAGGUUAAGAUCAAGCUAAAAAUUGAUUGUUACAAAGGUGACCAAAAGUAAAAGCAGAAGCCCUUUGAACACAUUGGCAAUGCUUUAUAAUUUGUAUUGGUGGGCAAGUGUGUUUAUGAUGUUCAUGCAUUUUCUUUAUACUAUUUUUAUUUCCUUUUUCAAAUUAAAGUUAAUAAACAUGUUUUUUAAAAAUGAA